GUUAUAUGGUCAAGUGAAGAAGCGCAUACGGUGGAUGCCUUGGCAGUCAGAGGCGAUGAAAGACGUGGUAGCCUGCGAAAAGCUUCGGGGAGUCGGCAAACAGACUUUGAUCCGGAGAUGUCUGAAUGGGGGAACCCAGCCAUCAUAAGAUGGUUAUCUUGUACUGAAUACAUAGGUGCAAGAGGCGAACCAGGGGAACUGAAACAUCUAAGUACCCUGAGGAAAAGAAAUCAACCGAGAUUCCCUUAGUAGUGGCGAGCGAACGGGGACUAGCCCUUAAGUGGCUUUGAGAUUAGCGGAACGCUCUGGAAAGUGCGGCCAUAGUGGGUGAUAGCCCUGUACGCGAAAAUCUCUUAGUCAUGAAAUCGAGUAGGACGGAGCACGAGAAACUUUGUCUGAAUAUGGGGGGACCAUCCUCCAAGGCUAAAUACUACUGACUGACCGAUAGUGAACUAGUACCGUGAGGGAAAGGCGAAAAGAACCCCGGAGAGGGGAGUGAAAUAGAUCCUGAAACCGUAUGCGUACAAGCAGUGGGAGCCCACUUUGUUGGGUGACUGCGUACCUUUUGUAUAAUGGGUCAGCGACUUAUUUUCAGUGGCGAGCUUAACCGAAUAGGGGAGGCGUAGCGAAAGCGAGUCUUAAUAGGGCGUCUAGUCGCUGGGAAUAGACCCGAAACCGGGCGAUCUAUCCAUGGGCAGGUUGAAGGUUAGGUAACACUGACUGGAGGACCGAACCGACUACCGUUGAAAAGUUAGCGGAUGACCUGUGGAUCGGAGUGAAAGGCUAAUCAAGCUCGGAGAUAGCUGGUUCUCCUCGAAAGCUAUUUAGGUAGCGCCUCAUGUAUCACUGUAGGGGGUAGAGCACUGUUUCGGCUAGGGGGUCAUCCCGACUUACCAAACCGAUGCAAACUCCGAAUACCUACAAGUGCCGAGCAUGGGAGACACACGGCGGGUGCUAACGUCCGUCGUGAAAAGGGAAACAACCCAGACCGUCAGCUAAGGUCCCAAAGUUAUGGUUAAGUGGGAAACGAUGUGGGAAGGCUUAGACAGCUAGGAGGUUGGCUUAGAAGCAGCCACCCUUUAAAGAAAGCGUAAUAGCUCACUAGUCGAGUCGGCCUGCGCGGAAGAUGUAACGGGGCUCAAACCAUACACCGAAGCUACGGGUAUCACUUAGGUGAUGCGGUAGAGGAGCGUUCUGUAAGCCUGUGAAGGUGAGUUGAGAAGCUUGCUGGAGGUAUCAGAAGUGCGAAUGCUGACAUGAGUAACGACAAUGGGUGUGAAAAACACCCACGCCGAAAGACCAAGGUUUCCUGCGCAACGUUAAUCGACGCAGGGUUAGUCGGUCCCUAAGGCGAGGCUGAAAAGCGUAGUCGAUGGAAAACAGGUUAAUAUUCCUGUACUUCUGGUUAUUGCGAUGGAGGGACGGAGAAGGCUAGGCCAGCUUGGCGUUGGUUGUCCAAGUUUAAGGUGGUAGGCUGAGAUCUUAGGUAAAUCCGGGAUCUUAAGGCCGAGAGCUGAUGACGAGUUACCCUUUGGGUGACGAAGUGGUUGAUGCCAUGCUUCCAAGAAAAGCUUCUAAGCUUCAGGUAACCAGGAACCGUACCCCAAACCGACACAGGUGGUUGGGUAGAGAAUACCAAGGCGCUUGAGAGAACUCGGGUGAAGGAACUAGGCAAAAUG
rnacentral:rRNA from 1 species